GACGAACGCUGGCGGCGUGCUUAACACUUGCAAGUCGAACGGAAAGGCCCUGCUUUUGUGGGGUGCUCGAGAGGCGAACGGGUGAGUAACACGUGAGUAACCUGCCCUUGACUUUGGGAUAACAUCAGGAAACUGGGGCUAAUACCGGAUAGGAGCUCCUGCUGCAUGGUGGGGGUUGGAAAGAUUCGGCGGUUGGGGAUGGACUCGCGGCUUAUCAGCUUGUUGGUGGGGUAGUGGCUUAACAAGGCUUUGACGGGUAGCCGGCCUGCGAGGGUGACAGGCCCCAUUGGGACUGAGGUACGGCCCAGACUCCUACGGGAGGCAGCAGUGGGGAAUAGAGCACGAUGGGCGGAAGCCUGAUGCAGCAACGCCGCGUGCGGGAUGACGGCCUUCGGGUUAUAAACCGCUUUCGCCUGUGACGAAGAGUAAGUGACGGUAAUGGGUAAAGAAGCACCGGCUAACUACGUG
rnacentral:rRNA from 1 species